ensembl:ncRNA F58A4.16 ncRNA
UUUUUCCGACAAAAGUUUCCCGAAACCCGUAACUCUUAUCACCUUUCCCCCACUAUGUUGGCUGACUGGCUGACAUGCCAUUUUCUUUGUAGAAUCAAAGAAGAUAGGCUCUUUUCCCAGCUGAAAAUCUUUGUGAUAAGCAA